CCUUUAAUGAUUUUGUUGUGGUUGGUGAAACACAGUCAUAUAAGUAAUGUUGAGGGAAAAAUGGAGAAGCUGAGGCAGCUCGGGCACAUCAAGGGUGACACCAGCAAGCUACAGUAUCUCGACAAACAAAUUGAGAAUUUGGAGCUUCAAAUUAAAAAGAGUGGUCUGGAGUUACAAAUUUUGGAAACGGAUCUUAGGUGAAGUUUUAUGUAAUAAAGUAGGGGAAAUAACACUUUUCAUCCUGUAAUUUUGGGUCAUUUUACUUUUGGUUCCACUGGUUACAGGAUUCUCACAUUUAGUCCCGUAAUUUCUAAAGU